rnacentral:misc_RNA from 1 species
GAUGAAGAACGUAGCGAAAUGCGAUACUUGGUGUGAAUUGCAGAAUCCCGUGAACCAUCGAGUCUUUGAACGCAAGUUGCGCCCGAAGCCAUUAGGCCGAGGGCACGCCUGCCUGGGCGUCACACGUCGUUGCCCCCCCAUCUACUCCUUCGGGAUUGCGGGGGGCGGAUGAUGGCCUCCCGUGCGCCUCGCCGCGCGGUUGGCAUAAAUGCCAAGUCCUCGGCGACGCACGCCACGACAAUCGGUGGUUGCGAAACCUCGGUUGCCCGUCGUGUGCGGUCGUCGCGCAUCGAGGGCUCGAAAAAAUUGCCGGGUUCCGGCUCGGCUUUCAACGCGACCCCAGGUCAGGCGGGGUUACCCGCUGAAUUUAAGCAUACAAUAAGCGGAGGA